rnacentral:rRNA from 1 species
CAGCAGCCACGGGAAUACGUAGGUGGCAAGCGUUGUCCGGAAUUAUUGGGCGUAAAGGGCUCGCAGGCGGUUUCUUAAGUCUGAUGUGAAAGCCCCCGGCUCAACCGGGGAGGGUCAUUGGAAACUGGGAAACUUGAGUGCAGAAGAGGAGAGUGGAAUUCCACGUGUAGCGGUGAAAUGCGUAGAGAUGUGGAGGAACACCAGUGGCGAAGGCGGCUUUUUGGCCUGUAACUGACACUGAGGCGCGAAAGCGUGGGGAGCAAACAGGAUUAGAUACCCCCGUAGUCCCUGUCUCUUAUAC